CAAUGUUGGAUCACUUUACUCUCUUUAAAGAGCGUUACUCGUAUUUUCUUCACCUUCACUCUCUUCCAUUCACUCCUCUCAUCUCCAUCUCCUUUGGUCAAUCUUUGAGCACAUCCAUGGCAAACCAAACUACGAACUCUACCUCCAAACAUCAUGAAAAAUAAGUGCGUAAGCUUUUACUGUAUGAUAAUAUUCACAAACAACAUGGAGAAGGACCAAAGAUGUUGCUGAAAAAACCUUGAAGAUCAAGAUGUAAAACAAUUGAUAGAUCAAAUCCACACGGAGCGAGGCAAAUAAGUUAAAUUUUGUUUUGCCAGGUGCUACCCAUGCUUCAUAGUUUCCUUAUAGUUGGUAAUUUAAUUACUUUUGGGCUUGAAGACUUUCCAGGAAGUAGCUAGGUACAUGUUCUUUGGUGUGGAGCAUCAAUAACCCAUGUAUCAAUACCAAGUUCAAUUACAGAUGGAAACGAAAAUCUUAUGUAGAGUGCAUAGUGAGAAUUUUUAGUAUCCAUUUCUUUUAUGAACCAUGCCUAGUUCCUUUGCUUCAAUGCAAGUGGAUUGAACUUUUUUUUAUGUAGCACUCAUGGUUUCGCUGAGGUUGAUUUUAUUUUAUUUUUGGAAAAGUAUGUGUGUAAGCUUUUACUAUAUGAUAAUUUUGACAAUAAACAUGCAGAGGAGACAAAAGAUGUUGAAGAAAGAACCUUCAAGAUACGGAUAAAAUAAUUGAUAGAUCUAAUUCACAUGGA